rnacentral:rRNA from 1 species
ACUCCUACGGGAGGCAGCAGUGGGGAAUAUUGCACAAUGGGCGCAAGCCUGAUGCAGCCAUGCCGCGUGUGUGAAGAAGGCCUUCGGGUUGUAAAGCACUUUCAGUCGUGAGGAAGGUAGUGUAGUUAAUAGCUGCAUUAUUUGACGUUAGCGACAGAAGAAGCACCGGCUAACUCCGUGCCAGCAGCCGCGGUAAUACGGAGGGUGCGAGCGUUAAUCGGAAUUACUGGGCGUAAAGCGCAUGCAGGUGGUUUGUUAAGUCAGAUGUGAAAGCCCGGGGCUCAACCUCGGAAUAGCAUUUGAAACUGGCAGACUAGAGUACUGUAGAGGGGGGUAGAAUUUCAGGUGUAGCGGUGAAAUGCGUAGAGAUCUGAAGGAAUAUCGGUGGCGAAGGCGGCCCCCUGGACAGAUACUGACACUCAGAUGCGAAAGCGUGGGGAGCAAACAGGAUUAGAUACCCUGGUAGGAAAGCG